UAGGGAAUCUUCCACAAUGGGCGAAAGCCUGAUGGAGCAACGCCGCGUGAGCGAAGAAGGUCUUCGGAUCGUAAAGCUCUGUUGUAAGGGAAGAACAAGUGCAGUAGUAACUGGCUGCACCUUGACGGUACCUUACUAGAAAGCCACGGCUAACUACGUGCCAGCAGCCGCGGUAACACGUAGGUGGCAAGCGUUGUCCGGAAUUAUUGGGCGUAAAGCGCGCGCAGGCGGCCUCUUAAGUCUGAUGUGAAAGCCCCCGGCUUAACCGGGGAGGGUCAUUGGAAACUGGGAGACUUGAGUGCAGGAGAGGGAAGCGGAAUUCCAUGUGUAGCGGUGAAAUGCGUAGAGAUAUGGAGGAACACCAGUGGCGAAGGCGGCUUCCUGGCCUGUAACUGACGCUGAGGCGCGAAAGCGUGGGGAGCAAACAG
rnacentral:rRNA from 1 species